rnacentral:misc_RNA from 1 species
CAAACAAUUUUCAGUUUAAUAAUUUAUCUAGGUAUUAACAAUAUUGGUUCAUUAUGAAAAUGUGUGAGUGCGCGAUAACAAGUUAGUUCCGAUUAUUCAAGUGUGCCAAUGAAAUUUUCAUGUCUUUCAAGACCGCAAAUGGUUAUUCUUCAGAACUAAUAACUUUUCUUUGAAUUUGAAGGCUGGUGGUGUGUAUUAUGCGCGUGCCUCUGCCACCAUGUUUCAUCAUUGUAGCAUUUCUUUCAUCGUUAUUUUCCACAAUUUUCAUCUUCACUUUAGGUAGCCCUUUGAGACCCGAACGCCAAAAAUGGAACAUCACUCUCGGAGGCGUUUGGGAUGAGUUUGCUCUCCUGAGCAAUGACAAUGAAGACCCGGCCGGGAUCCUGCAGCCGUCCAACCACUCUCAUCAGCUGCCACCUUCCUACACUCCUGAGCAGAUCGAGAACCAAACCAUGCGUCAAUUCCAGUUGUUGAAGGUGAAUUACAGCCGACUGUUGUCUGAAUUGGACUGGGAAAUGUCAGCCAAAGACUUGCGCAGUGGCCGAGGUCUGCCUCCCAUUGUGGACAAAGCGUUGCGCUUGCUCAAUCUCAAACAAGUGAUAGAAGAAGUAGAAACAAGUGUUAUGUCCAAAGUGUCGUGCACAGCGUGUAAAGCAGGUGCUGGACUUUUGCAGCAUUAUAUCCAUCAUGGAAAAACCAGAGAUGAUAUAGUAAAAAUAACUUACCAAUUUUGUGUUAGUUUCAAACUUCAAACUCCUAGAGUAUGUGAAGGGAUCACCGAGCUGUUUGGGGGUGAAGUAGUGUACGUAUUGAAUCGACUAAAACUAGGACCUGAAGAGAUUUGUAGUUUUGUGAUUGGUGAUGCCUGUGGUGAUGUGUAUAAUCCCACUCAUGAAUGGCAAGUCGUUUUCCCUCCAGUGCCAAAGCCAACUGUCAUUCCAAUUCCAAAUCCUACCGAAGGAGGUGCCACGUUCAAAGUGCUGCACUUGUCGGACACCCACUUCGACCCGUACUACCAGGAGGGCACCAACGCAGACUGUAAGGAGCCGCUGUGCUGCCGGCUGACCAAUGGCCCCGCCCCCGACGCAGCGUCGGCCGCCGGCGCCUGGGGCGACUACCGCAAGUGCGACACCCCCAAGCGCACCAUCGACAACAUGUUCCAACACAUCGCCGCCACCCAUCCAGAUAUCGACUACAUCCUGUGGACUGGUGAUUUACCGCCACAUGACGUCUGGAAUCAAACCAGAGAAGAGAACCUGAUGAUAUUGAAACAGACUGUCGCUCAAAUGACGCAAUUCUUUCCUGGAAUUCCGAUAUUUCCAGCUCUAGGAAAUCACGAAGCAGCACCUGUAAAUAGUUUUCCGCCGCCAUUCGUGCACAACGACUUUUCGAUCACUUGGCUGUACGACGAGUUGGACACCCAGUGGCGGGAAUGGCUGCCGGCCAGCGUCUCCCGAACCGUGCGUCGCGGCGCCUUCUACUCGGUGCUUGUGCGUCCGGGAUUCAGAAUCAUUUCGCUCAACAUGAACUACUGCAACAACAAGAACUGGUGGUUAUUAUUGAAUAGUACCGAUCCUGCCAAAGAGCUUCAAUGGUUCAUCUAUGAACUGCAAAGUGCUGAAUUCAAUAAUGAAAAAGUUCAUGUCAUUGGACAUAUUCCUCCCGGCCACAGUGAUUGCCUAAAAGUUUGGAGUCGAAAUUAUUAUACAAUAAUAAAUAGAUAUGAGUCAACAAUUACAGCGCAGUUCUUUGGUCAUACACAUUUUGAUGAAUUCGAACUGUUCUACGAUUCACAAGAUCUAGGGAGACCAACUAGUAUAGCUUAUGUUGGUCCAUCCGUAACUCCUUAUAACGAUCUAAAUCCUGGAUACAGAAUAUACUUUAUAGAUGGAGACCAUGAUCAAACAACAAGAACUGUUAUUGAUCAUGAAACAUGGGUGAUGAACUUGAAAGAAGCCAAUCUCUACAAUUACCCAAUCUGGUACAAACUGUACAGUACACGAUCGACUUACCAGAUGCCCAAUCUCCUACCACAAGAGUGGGACAAUUUCCUCAACCAGCUGGCUGAAAAUGAAUCUCUAUUCGACCAAUACUACAAACAUUACUGGAAGAACUCUCCGGUUCGCCCGGCGUGCGACGCGGAGUGCAAGAAGAGGCUGAUCUGCGACAUUCGCUCAGGCAGGUCGCACGACCGCAAGGCGCUCUGCCAGGAGAUCGAGAGUCGCAUCGACGCCAACACACGCACCGGCUGGCGAGCCUGGUUCUACAACGGCCUCGCACUCUCCAUUUGGAUUCUAUCCACAAUUUGUGAUUUAUUGUGAGUUGACUUCAUUUUCCAUACACUUUUUUUAAAUCCCACUGAAGCAUACUUUUGUAGAUCUCCACCAUAUUUUAAUUUGGUCAACCGAAAUGGUUUUAUUACUAGUUACCGUACUGUAAUUAGAAUUAUUGAAUUAUUUAUUUUUCCCACUUUGAAACUGUAAUAAACGCCACUUGCUAUUUUUCAAAAAAUAAAAUUAAUCUCUUACUAUUCUCUAUUUACCACAAAAUAUUGCCUUCUAGAAUUCACCUUACUUAGUAGUUGAGCAACUGCUUUCAGGCUUUGUAUAAUAAUUGAUGAUUUAAUUUCCACUCAGAAUAUUCUCAAUUUUUAUUUGCUAGUAUUAUUUCGAUGUUUGUAAUUGAAGAUGUAUUUUCAAGUUUUUUAUUAUUUCAUAUUUCUAUUCUCUUCCAUUUUGUGAGAGAUCACUUAUGGGUGAUGGGUGAGAGGUGUUGGAACCAAAACCAAUCUAAAAUGGAUGUCGGUCAUAAUGGCAAUACCUUCACUCACAUACAAAAUUCCAAAGUAUGUCUUGGGAUUCGGAUAGCAGUAACUCAUCAUUCAUGAAUUUAUUGUGAAAUUAUCGAAGUGCUCAUUUUCAACAAUUACAUUACC